CCCUCUUGGCCAGCCUGAGGGCUUAGUGGGGCCGUUCUCAGCCAGGUGGCCCGGCGUGAUGGGAAAGGGGCUCAGUGGCCGGGUUCAACGGGUUAAGUGAAUUCCCUCUCGCCCUGAAGCUUGGCUGACCUACCGCCUUUCUCCAUGGUGGGAUCCGAGGACUCUGAAUUAGUAACACCUAGACAGCAAACACCUCAAGACACCCUGCUUUUAUAUUCCUGUGGUAAUCGCCGUGGUCACAAAGCUUCUGCAGAUUUUUCUGAUCUAGACUAUAACAGGGAUUAUGAGCUAUCCCAGAGACCACGCUAUCUACCCUGUGAGUUAAAGAGCUGCAAUUUGUGUAAAGACUGGUUUGCUUGUGACUGCGGACAUGAUUUGUGGGGCACAGGUGGGUCAGAGUAUUGUAAAAUAGCGUGUUAUAGUCCUUUAUCUUCUGAUUCUGAUAGUGGUGAUGAGGGAUAUUUUUCUGAUGGUGGAGUCAUGCACCCUUUGAACUCUGUAUAACCAAUAAAAGACUGUAUUAAUGUCAA